rnacentral:rRNA from 1 species
GACGGAGGUCCCUAGCGUUGUUCGGAAUUACUGGGCUUAAAGCGCGUGUAGGCGGAAGGGCAAGUACCUUGUGAAAUCCCCGGGCUCAACCCGGGAAUGGCUGGGUAUACUGCCUUUCUUGAGGCAGGUAGGGGUCACUGGAACCUUAGGUGGAGCGGUGAAAUGCGUAGAUAUCUAAGGGAACGCCUGUGGCGAAAGCGGGUGACUGGGCCUGUCCUGACGCUGAGACGCGAAAGCGUAGGGAGCAAACGGGAUUAGAUACCCCGGUAGUCUACGCCGUAAACGAUGCGCACUAGGUUCGAGGGUCCCUGACGAUUCUCGAGCCGAAAUAAAAACGAUAAGUGCGCCGCCUGGGGAGUACGGCCGCAAGGCUAAA